rnacentral:rRNA from 1 species
UACGUAGGGGGCUAGCGUUGUCCGGAUUUAUUGGGCGUAAAGAGCGUGUAGGCGGCCAGGUAGGUCCGUUGUGAAAACUCGAGGCUCAACCUCGAGACGUCGGCGGAAACCCUCUGGCUAGAGUCCGGAAGAGGAGAGUGGAAUUCCUGGUGUAGCGGUGAAAUGCGCAGAUAUCAGGAAGAACACCAAUGGCGAAAGCAGCUCUCUGGGACGGUACUGACGCUGAGACGCGAAAGCGUGGGGAGCGAACAGG